AGAGAGAGAGAGAGAGAGAGAGAGAGAGAGAGAGAGAGAGAGAGAGAGAGAGAGAGGGCGGCGAAAGCUCGGGCAAAGCGGCAGCGGCAGCGUCGGCAGAUUCCCCUUGGGCGGGCGUCGCCGCUAUUUUACCACCCCCGGCCGAUUCACCGACGGAAGAUCCAACCCCCACCCCGCCCCAGCUGUCGGCGGCCCCCUAACCCCCGGGGCGCCUUUAUCCACCGGGGAUUUCUCGUCGUUUCUCGGGCGCAAGGCGGCGCCACUCUGGACCUCUUCCUCGGCGGUGGCGUCUUAUAGCUCCGGCGCUCGAUCCGCUGGUUUUCCGCGGGGCCGGGGGCGGCGGUUCUGGAUGACUUCUUGAGCUGGACCUCUUCAUCGAGCUUGUUCGAUUGGUUUGGGGGGAAGUAGUUGGUUCUUGCGGUGCUCGGCGGGCGAUUCCGGCGGGGUUCGGUUCCAAUCGGGGGAAAUGGCGUUCCUGCGGUCCCGGUGUUGACCAAUCUGGCCGAGCGCUCGCGGCUGCCAUGGCGGAUUUGGGGCUCUGGAACCAGGGGUGGACGUGGGUCCUCUCCCAGAAGCACGUCGUCGCCUGGGCGCACGCCGCGGCGGGCUGCGGCAGGGACCGCCUCGCCUUCCUCGUCGACCGCCACUGGCCGGCCGUUUCCCGGGCCUGCGUCAGCUCCUCGCGCCUCCUGCUCGAGGCGCUCAGGCAGUGGCGGGGCUGCACGGCGCGGGGCCUCCUCGCGCUCGCCAGCCUCGGCCCCGCCGCCGUCUUCGUCAUCCUCUGGAGCUGCUUCGUGUGCAUGACCUCGUCGGCCUGCGCCCUCUACGCCCUCCUUGGCCUGGGAGCUGUUGCGGCAGUCAUUCACUACAUGGGCUAUACGCCUGGCCUUCUUAUUGUAGGACUGUUUGGCAUCAUGAUUAUGUGGAUGUAUGGCUACUUUUGGAUUACCGGCAUGCUUCUGGUUGCUGGAGGUUGUAUGUGCUCUUUGAAACAUGCACGAUUUGUCAUACCUGUGUUGGCUAUGUAUGCUGUUUAUUGCGUGGCUGUUCGUGUCGGGUGGCUUGGAGUUUUCUUCACGCUGAAUCUCUCUUUUCUGACAAAUGAUCUUCUGAACAAGUUGCUGCAAGGAUAUGAGGGAAGCAUGGAAGAGAGACCAUUUGAAGAAAUGAAGGAUUCUGAUCCAGCCACGGAUGCCUUCUUUCGUGGCUGUGAAUAUCCUCCUGCUCCUGAAAGUGAACCAGAGACCGUGUCGUCUGCAAAGCCCUUUUGCGCAGCACCUACCCAAGAUGUGUUACAUGUACAGAAGGAGCCAUCUCCCAGUAAAAUAGUGAAAUCAAAUUCUACUUCGUUGGACGAGAUGAAGAGGAUAAUGGAUGGUUCGACCUAUUAUGAUGUUUUGGGCAUCUCUCGGAGCAAAAGCAUCAAUCUGAUCGAAUUGAAAAAGGAAUACAGAAAAUUGGCAGUUCUUGUCCAUCCUGAUAAAAACAUGGGUAAUCCAUUGGCGUGCGAGUCAUUCAAGAAGCUUCAGUCAGCUUUUGAGGUACUCUCAGAUUUAACGAAGAAAAAUGGCUAUGAUGAACAGCUGAGGAAAGAAGAAUCCCGGCAAAUGACUCAGAGAUCACGUGUUGUCUCUCAACCGAGUGGGGUAGAGUUUCUCUCUGAGGAGUCCAGGCGUAUACAGUGCACAAAAUGUGGUAAUUUUCAUUUAUGGAUAUGUACCAAGAGAAGCAAAGCAAAAGCAAGAUGGUGCCAGGAUUGUUCCCAAUACCAUGUUGCCAAGGACGGAGAUGGGUGGGUGGAAAAUAGAUAUUCUGCAUCCUUGAAGUUAGAAAUACCAAGAGCUUUUGUCUGUGCGGAGAGUAAAAUAUUUGAUGUAUCUGAGUGGGCUACUUGCCAGGGAAUGGAGUGCAAACCAAACACUCAUGGUCCAACUUUUAUGGUGAACAUGGUUGGUGCGGAUAGGAUGCCUCAGAGAUCGCAGAGUUCUCGGUAUCCCUUUAGCCUGGACGCCGAGAUGAUCCCCGAAGACGAAUUUGAGCUGUGGCUUCAACAGGCAUUGGCGACGGGCGUCUUCUCUGACAGCCCGAAACGAAGGAAAAGCUGGAGCCCCUUCAAACUGCCUCAGAAAGGGAUCAGAAGUUGGCGGCGAUCGUCAUGAGGGUGCGACGUUAAAUAGCAUGGCUACAUGGGGCCUCAGAUGGUAGCAACAUUGGGAAAAAGGCAAUAAUACAAGGGUUUGUAUUUGUAAAUAGACUGACCAAAAAAAUUUACCUGGACGAGCAACUAAUUUUGUCCGAAAAGAGAAACGACAAGUAAAAGGAACUCUUAAAUGAAAAGACACAGUGAACCUGACUGUUGAAAUUAGUUCUCUCUGCUGGGUUCCCACAAGUUGUUUCAAAGAAAAGACCAGGCAUGGGGUCGAAACAUGAGUAGCUGUUCGGCGUGCGAACUCCAUCAGUGCAGGGAUCGACGACGAAAAGAGUGCUGACCUGGAUUACAGGAGCAAAUUCUGCGGGUGUUGCGCUGCUCUUUCUGAAGCAUCGCUGAAGGAAAGAUGCUCUGUUCAUGGAAGCAGCAAGUUCUGUGAAGCUCGUUCUGGAGAAGAGAAGGGGGAAAAGGAAGAAACCUGAAAAGAGAUGGUAGAAACUGGCUGCUGUGUAACCAUGGGAAACCCUGCAUGAGAAAUGCACUCGCUCACUGCUCUGUAACAUUAUACCCUGAUACUACUAACAUCCUGUGGAAAAAACUACCAUAAUCCAGGUUUGUCCUGUAACACGCCAUGUGCCGCGCUCUGUAACAUUUUCGGCGGAUAAAUAGUGAUCUUGUCCUGGAUUGUCUCC
rnacentral:rRNA from 1 species